rnacentral:lncRNA from 1 species
UGGGCCUCAUUCUUAGGUUGAAGGGGACCGCAGACUUCUGAGUGUUGACUUGCUGGCCCUGACAAUAGAGGCAAAGCGCUACGCAUUCUCGAUAGAGGCACACCCAAUAAAGAGGCAGUCAUCUACAAAGAGAAGAUGCGAGAGGGCCAAGGUAUUAGGGGUAGGCCAAUACGGCUUUAGGGCCUGCACCUGGACUACUGCUUUUAAAGUCCUGGAUAAUGCAUCAGCAUAUAAAAUGAACAAGAAGGGGGAGAGG